UGGGGAAUAUUGGACAAUGGGCGCAAGCCUGAUCCAGCCAUGCCGCGUGAGUGAUGAAGGCCCUAGGGUUGUAAAGCUCUUUCAGUGGGGACGAUAAUGACGGUACCCACAGAAGAAGCCCCGGCUAACUUCGUGCCAGCAGCCGCGGUAAUACGAAGGGGGCUAGCGUUGUUCGGAAUUACUGGGCGUAAAGCGCACGUAGGCGGACAUUUAAGUCAGGGGUGAAAUCCCGGGGCUCAACCCCGGAACUGCCUCUGAUACUGGGUGUCUUGAGUGUGGUAGAGGUGAGUGGAAUUGCGAGUGUAGAGGUGAAAUUCGUAGAUAUUCGCAGGAACACCAGUGGCGAAGGCGGCUCACUGGACCACAACUGACGCUGAGGUGCGAAAGCGUGGGGAGCAAACAGG
rnacentral:rRNA from 1 species